rnacentral:rRNA from 1 species
GACGGAGGAUGCAAGCGUUAUCCGGAAUUAUUGGGCGUAAAGCGUCCGCAGGUGGCUGUUCAAGUCUGCUGUCAAAGCGCAGAGCUUAACUCUGUACAGGCGGUGGAAACUGAAGAGCUAGAGUAUGGUAGGGGUAGAGGGAAUUCCCGGUGUAGCGGUGAAAUGCGUAGAUAUCAGGAAGAACACCCGUGGCGAAGGCGGCUUUCUGGGACGGUACUGACGCUGAGACGCGAAAGCGUGGGGAGCGAACAGG